GGGCCCCGGGCCCCCGGGCCCCGCGGGCCUGGUGCCAGUGCUUCUCUCUCCCCUCGGGGAGGCCCUGAAGCCCCGGGCCCGGCAGCCCUUUCCUGAAGCAGCGACGGCCCACCUGGCUCCUCCUCCCCGAGGUGACAUGUUGAGGUUGGGUGGUGCGUUUCCUGCCACUGCAGAACCCCCACGGUUUCGGGGAAGGCCUAGCCGUGUCGGACACAUGCCUGUUGCACCCCAUAUGGGGCUCUCUCCGGAACCUUCGCUCUCUCUAAGACUAUGA
rnacentral:lncRNA from 1 species